rnacentral:lncRNA from 1 species
GGGGUAUAGGUAUCAAAUUGGCAAGGUGGGCUCCUUGACAUUGGAUUCUUCAGCUAGCAGGAGGGCUCGAUCUCACCCUAGGAUCCUUGGGCUCCUCAUGGGGGCACUUUUUGCCUCCUUUUUUCCUUGGCUUUCCGAUGGAUGGCCACUGCUUCCUCGACCUAUGCAUACUUUUGGGUAUGGGUGAGGAGGUUGGUAGAGUCCUUAGUGAAGCUCUUAUC